UAUUUCUUGGUGAUAUGUUAAACAAGGGGUGGAUUAUUCAUGCCUCCCCUUUUUAGACCAUGUAGGGUAACUUCCUGACGUUGCCACGGCAUUUGUAAACUGUCAUGGCGCUGGUGGGCGUGUACCAGUGAGGGCAACCAGAGGUCACUCUCAUAGCCAUCUUGGUUUUGGAGGAUUUUGGCCGUCUUCUUUACUGCAGCCUGUUUGAUCAGCAAGGUCUUUAUGAGCUGUAUGACCUAGCAAUGCAUCCAAGUAGGUCUCAGCUUUAUUUUACCCAGCCCCUAUUCAAGAUGGAGUUGCUCUGGUUCAAACGCCUCUGAGACAAGGUCCAGCAAUUCUUCCUUGGUUGUGGGAUUAGACUCAGAGCAAGAUUCCUGUUCGUUGCUUCCUGUGCCCACAGACAGUGAACUGUCGGGAAUCUACCAGGUCUUUUGGAGCAAUAGGCUUUUCAGGGGGUAUCCCAAUAGGCCAGGACGGCCUGCAUCUUCACGUAGCCCCUCUGCUCUUGAGCUUUCUCCUUCCUGCCACCUGGGGUGGUGGAAAGGGCAUUGGGUUUGGAGCAGAAAUGACUUAGGUGUGAACCCAGCUCUGCCACUUCCUGGCCGGCUGUGCUUGGAAAAGUAACCAAGCAUCUCCGGAGCGCCCCACUUCUCAUCUACAAGACAGGAGUGGUCUUUGCACUUAAUUCAGAGGGUUGCAUGAGGAGUAGAGAGAUAAUGCUUUCACGGCUCCAGGAACCCAGCGGGCUUUCAAGAAAUGGGAUGUUCCUUCUGAUUCCCUCGCUCCAGGGCCCUCCCCUCUGGCCCAGGCUCUAGUCCCCAUUAAUCACACCGCGCGGGCUGCGACCCCUUUAAGUCCGGCUUGGAUGACCCAGAUCCAAAGUCAUCGACUCUCUAGCUGCUAUCUCUAUGGUAAGUUAUCACUUCCGGCCGGAAGUUGCUGACGGAGCUACUUCCGCCCAGGGGAGUGGGAAGUAAGUGGAGACACGUGCUUUGGCCUGUUGGAGGGGAAACCCGCUCUCGCCUCCUGGUGGUCGCCGACUCGCAGUCCGCAGGAUGACUCAGGGCAGCCCUGACCACAGUUCCGCCGCCAUCGGCCCUAGCCUGCGGAAUUGGGCUCGCCCCGGGACGAUAACAGAGCUCUGCCGGGGGCUGGAGGCACUGACCGGGUGACCAGAGACCCAGAGACCAGACCCCCUCCACGGCGCCCGGGAUUUCGGGGACGGCUUCUCCCAUCGCAAGUAGGGCUUGGACGGGAGGCGACAAAAGAGAACUUGGUCCGCACACAGCCACCGAAAUUGGAAUGAGGAGCUGUAGGGAGGCCCCGUAGCCAGCAGAAAAGCAUUGGGGUCCCUGGCUGGGUUAGCCCAGGUUUCUAGGAGUGUGGUAAGCGUCGAAUGACUUUUGUCCUUUUAAAGCACAUUAUGUUACUUUUUCCCCCAAGGUUUCAACAGAAAAUGAGAAAUAUCCCCCGACGAUUGGCUGAAAACAUGCAGCAACCACUAUUUUCUUCCUGCCCCUCGUUGAUGAGAGCAUUCGAAGUGACCUCAGCAGGGCAUCCAGGUCAGUUUCUGGAAGACUUGUGUGUGUGAUGAAUGAAUAUCUGGUUUUGUCUCUGCUGGGCCUGUGUGCCUGGAAAGGAAUUGUUUUGGCCUAGGAUCAUCCAGGUUUGUUUGGUUUAGUUCUUGACCACAUAUUUUUUGAAUGGUGACUGCUUAAGACCCUGUUGUGUAUGGCUAUAAAUAGAUACACGCCAAGGUGACCACAUACUCUGUGGUUCCUGUGCCCGCCGGCCAUGUGUCUGAGUGUGUAGCCUCUCAUCAUCUAAAGGAACUUUGGCUGCAGAGGGGAGGCCUGGUCCCAUGGGAAGUUUUGGGAGCGCAGCAGCAGGUGGGUUCAAACGACCCAGCAAGUGCCUCCUUAGCACUUAGAGGCGGAGGCCACCACGUUGUCCACGUGGGGUUUCUGAUCCCAGCUCCCCACCAGCCUGCUGGACCUCGGGCAGGUCCCUCCCUGUUUGUACCUCCAUUACUUCUUCAGUAAGAUGGGGACACUGAAGAUGACCAUGCCUCCCACCAGAUUGGUGCUUUUUUUGUUUUAAUAAGGGACAGAGUCUCACUAUGUUGCCUAUAGGCUGGUCUCAAGCUCUUGGCCUCAGUUUUCCUGCCUCAGCCUUCAAAUAUGCUGGGGUGACAGGCAUGAGCCACUGCACUGGCCCAGAUUGGUACAUUUGAGGGUUAAAUGAGCAAAUCCUAUAAAGCACUCAGGAGAGGGCUGUGGGGUUUGGGCUGGGGCCUGGGAGCACUUUAGACGUGGUAGCUAUGUUGUUGUCACCUUUCUCCUCUUUCAAAGCAUUUUUUGUUUGUUUGUUUUUGUUUUUGAGACAGAGUUUCGCUCUUGUGGCCCAGGCUGGAGUGCGGUGGUGUGACCUCGGCUCACUGCAUCCUCCGCCUCCCGGGUUCAAGUGAUGGGAUUACAGGUGCCUGCCACAACGCCCAGCUAAUUGUUUGUAUUUUUAGUAGAGACGAGGUUUCACCAUGUUGGCCAGGCUGGUCUCGAACUCCUGACCUCAGGUGAUCCACCUGCCUUGGCCUCCCAAAGUGCUGGGAUUACAGGUAUGAGCUACCGCGCCCGGCACAAAGCAUUUUCAGCUGUGAAAUUCCCUGGGGUGCUGCAGUAGAGGAAGGUUUGGGGUCUUGACGGGUGCUAUUUGCCACGGAAAGAUGCCUUCCUGCUCCCAGGGCAGGAGAGCCGAGGUAAGACUUACUGUAGGCUGUCGUUUUUUUUGUUUGUUUUUUGUCUUUGCGAUGGAGUCUCACUCUGUCGCCAGGCUGGAGUGCAGUGGCAUGAUCUUGGCUCACUGCAGAACCUCCACCUCCCAGGUUCAAGCGAUUCUCCUGCCUCAGCCUCCCAAGUAACUGGGAUUACAGGCACAUGCCCCCACAACCAGCUAAUUUUUUAUUUUUAGUAGAGACAGGGUUUCACAUGUUGGCCAGGCUGGUCUUGAACUCCUGACCUCAGGUGAUCCGCCCGCCUCGGCCUCCCAAAGUGCUGGGAUUACAGACAUGAGCCACUGCGCCCAGCCAGGCUGUUGUUUUUUUACCUCCUUGUUUGCACAAUUUGGGCCACUCACAAGAGUGUAUACCCUGUGAUAAACAGUUACCUACAUUCUCCUCUGCAUGCUUGUCUUUAGAGGAAGGAAAUGUAUUAAUUGCCCAAAGUAAUAUAUUGUGUUAAGAUGUGAUAUAUACUGGGGAAAAAAAAAG
rnacentral:lncRNA from 1 species